CGUGUGGUUCUAUUUUGUUGGUUAUGGGACCGCCGUAAUGAUUAAUAGGGACAGUCGGGGGGCAUCAGUAUUCAAUUGUCAGAGGUGAAAUUCUUGGAUUUAUUGAAGACUAACUACUGCGAAAGCAUUUGCCAAGGAUGUUUUCAUUAAUCAGGAACGAAAGUUAGGGGAUCGAAGACGAUCAGAUACCGUCGUAGUCUUAACCAUAAACUAUGCCGACUAGGGAUCGGGCGAUGUUACUUUUUGACUCGCUCGGCACCUUACGAGAAAUCACAGUUUGUGGGUUCCUGGGGGAGUAUGGUGGCAACGCUGAAACUUAAAGAAAUUGACGGAAGGGCACCACCAGGGGUGGAGCCUGCGGCUUAAUUUGACUCAACACGGGGAAACUCACCAGGUCCAGACACAAUGAGGAUUGACAGAUUGAGAGCUCUCUCUUGAUUUUGUGGGUGGUGGUGCAUGGCCGUUCUUAGUUGGUGGAGUGAUUUGUCUGCUUAAUUGCGAUAACGAACGAGACCUUAACCUGCUAAAUAGCCCGUGUUGCUUCUGCAGCACGCCGGCUUCUUAGAGGGACUAUCGGCUCAAGCCGAUGGAAGUUUGAGGCAAUAACAGGUCUGUGAUGCCCUUAGAUGUUCUGGGCCGCACGCGCGCGACACUGACAGGGCCAGCGAGUUCUCCCUUGUCCGAAAGGACCGGGUAAUCUUGUUAAACCCUGUCGUGC
rnacentral:rRNA from 1 species